CUUUUGACAGCCGUGAGCUUCCCCGCCAGGAACUUACUGGGGCUGCAUCACCCUAGAAACGUGGCUUUGGGCUGUGGAAACGCUGCCUCUGUGGAAGUCUCUCCUCGCGGGGGUGGACGGGUCGCUGCGCGCCCAGCGUUCUUCUGCGGUUCUCACAGCCCGCCGCCGCCGCCGCCUCGGGGACCUUUGCGGGGAGGCCUCAGGUCAGCGCCGCCCUUGCGAUGGCGGGAGAGCAGAGCGGCCCCAGGGCCUCUGAGCUCCGGCCCCGGCACGUCCCGCCCUCUCCUCCGCUUGCGGGAGCCGGGGCGCCUCGGAGGGAAACCUUCCGGACACAGGCCGGGAGAAGAGGGGCCGUGGCGCCAUCGCGCAGCUUCCUGGUUUCGGCCAUGUUUUUUUUUUUUUGAGACGGAGUUUCGCUCUUUUUGCCCAGGCUGGAGGGCAAUGGCGCCGUCUCGGCUCCCUGCAGCCGCCGCCUCCCGGGUUGAAGGGACUCUCCGGCCUCAGGCCGCGGUGUUCUUGUAAAUUAGAACCGGCCUAUGCGCCAAGCGCGGGUCUCGCGGCUGCGGAGAGAGGCCCAGCAGGGGGCGGGGACGCCGGGAGGCGGGGCCUGGCCGAGCUGCGCACACCCGGGUGGUUCUGGCUACGGGUACCCGGACCUGCCCAACGACCGUUCUCCAUUCCCGACCUCCGCACCCUACCCGGUCCGCAGGGCACCUUCCUCCUCUCUCUCAGGCACGUCCUCGACCUCAGUUGCCACGUGCACAUGCUGGUGCCUUCCAGGCUGGAGUAUAGUGGCAUGAUCAUAGAUCACUGCAGCCUCAAACUCCUGGGCUCAAGCGAUCCUCCCACCUCAGCCUCCAUAUAGCUGGUGGGGACCAAGUUUCUAACACAUGAAUGUUGGGAGACACAUUCAGACCAUCGCAGUGGCCUUAUAAAAAGAGACACAAGAGCUUGCUCUCUGCCAUGUGAGAAUACCACAAGAAGACUGUCCUCAGCAAAUCAGAAAGCGGGUGGACCCUCAUCAGACACCAGAUGUGCCUGCACCUUGAUCUUGGACUUGCCAGCCUUCAGAACAGUAAGAAAGAAAUGUGUGUUGUUUAAGCCACCCAGUCUAUGGUAACUUGCUAUAGCAGCCCACUAGGAGACCCCAAGAUAUUUAAAAACUCAUCAGCACCUGCUUUCUGCAUCUGGACCCUGAUCUUCUGGUGGGUUUACCAGUUACUUGUAGAGUGUCCCUGUGAUAGUUUUAGGUGUCAACUUGACAGGAUUGAGGGAUGCCUAGAUGGCUGGGGAAGCACUGUUUCUGAGAAGGACCAUGUUUUUGGAGGAGACUGUUUUAUGAGUGAAUUUCAGGGGACACAUUCAGAUCAUGGCAGUGGCAUUAUAAAGAGAGACACAAAAGCUUGCUCUCUCUCUCUGCCAUGUAAGACUACCACACAAAGACUGCCAUCUGCAAACCAGAAGCAGGUGGGCUUUCCUCAGACACCAGAUCUGCCUGCACCUUGAUCUUGGACUUGCCAGCCUUCAGAACUCUAAGAAAGAAAUGGUAGCAUGGCUUGGUCUAAGUUGGAAGGCCUGAGAAACAAGCACAUGGUGGAACUGAGUUCAAGGAUAAAGACUUGAGAAUACCUGCUCAGUGGACUGAGUAGGGAAGAUCAACCCUCAAUGUAGGCAGGCACUAUCCAAUCACCUGAGGGCCCAGAUGGAACAAAAAGGUGGAAGAAGGGUGAAUUCUCUCUUCCAGAGCUGUGACACCCUUCUCAUGCCCUUGUACCACACAACUCUAGGUCCUUUGGCCUUUGGACUCUGACACUUGCACCAGUGGCCCUCUGGGGCUCUCAAGCCUUUAGCCUUGAACUUAGUUACACCAUGUGCCUCCUUGUUUCUCAGGCCUUCCAACUUGGAUCAGGCCAUGCCACCGGCUUCUCUGAUUCUCCAGCUUGCAGAUGGUAUAUUGUGACCCUGGCAUUUAAUAACUAUGACUUUGGUCUUAAGCAAUUUUCUUCCUCUGUGGAUUGAUAUUUACAUAUCAAUGUGGAUAAUAAUUUCUUACCACGGUAACUGUUGUGAGGUAAAAAUGAGUUAACAUAAGUAAAACCGAGCACAUGCAAACCAUCCGAAAUGGUUAAUACUUACUAUUUGUACUU
rnacentral:lncRNA from 1 species